GACGAACGCUGGCGGCGUGCUUAACACAUGCAAGUCGAACGGAAAGGCCCUGCUUUUGUGGGGUGCUCGAGUGGCGAACGGGUGAGUAACACGUGAGUAACCUGCCCUUGACUUUGGGAUAACUUCAGGAAACUGGGGCUAAUACCGGAUAGGAUCUCCUGCUGCAUGGUGUGGGUUGGAGAGUUUCGGCGGUUGGGGAUGGACUCGCGGCUUAUCAGCUUGUUGGUGGGGUAGUGGCUUACCAAGGCUUUGACGGGUAGCCGGCCUGAGAGGGUGACCGGCCACAUUGGGACUGAGAUACGGACCAGAAUCCUACGGGCGGCAGCAGUGGGGAAUAUUGCACAAUGGGCGGAAGCCUGAUGCAGAAACGCCGCGUGCGGGAUGACGGCCUUCGGGUUGUAAACCGAUUUCGCCUGUGACGAAGAGUGAGUGACGGUAAUGUGUAAAGAAGCACCGGCUAACUACGUG
rnacentral:rRNA from 1 species